CGUUUUCUUUUCUGUUUUCUUAUCUUCCUCACCCAACUCUGAAAAUCUCACAGAUCCAACCUCAACUCUCACAAUCAAAGACUAAUCCCAACCUCAUCUCAAAAUCAAAACCCAUGUAUCAUAUCUAAAAGAAAACCCCUCUUUUCUAACCCUAGAUUUAGAGCAAACUCUCAUCUGAUUUUAGCUCGCUCGUUUUCAGUAUGAGAGGGAGAUGAGGAAUCCUGCAUAUGGAAGCAAAUCUCAUCAUCGAAUCAAGUAUGAUUUCAAAAUCUAAUCCAACCGCAUCUUUGAAUCAACACCUAUCUCAGAAUCAGAACCAUAAUCCUUUAGUAUCCCCUAAUUUUUUACCCUAGACCGCGUUAAUUUUUCUCCUGAAAUCAAAGCAAACCCUCAUUUCAUAUUUGAUAGAGAUGAGAGUAGAAGAAAAAGACUUCACCAUGUAAUCUUUUACUUUUUCUUUUUUCUUAUCAUUGCUUGAUUUUGUUUCUGCUCUUAUUUGCUUGAUUUUGUAAAAUUUUUGCAUUAUUUCUUUUUGUUUGAUGUAUUUGAUGGAGCCUUAAAGCACGGGUUUUAUUUGAUUUCAUCUUUAUGGUGUUUUAACUGAUUGUGUAUGGUGUUGUUGGUUGGAUUUGAUGGUGUGGGCUGUUGGUGUUGGUGGUGUGAUUAGUGCAGCAGAUUUUUGUGUUUAGUUGGUGGUGGUGCAUCAUUUGUUAAGGUGUUUGUGAUGAGAAAUAAUUGGAUCUGUUAUGAGAAUGGAUGCUGGUGGUGGUGAUGCAGGUAGAAAUUGGUGGAGAAUUUGACUGAUAUUUGUGGUUAGAGAAGUGAUGGUAAUAAUUUACCUUGCGGUGAGACUCUUUCACGGAGGAAACAAGGACAUAACUACAUGGAAGGAGUAUUGUUGAAUAUUUGGAUAUCAUCUGGGGACAGGGCGCUUGAGUUAUUUUCACUUGUAUAGCUCUUAU